ACGUGUAGUGUACCUACCAUCACUGCCUGGUGGCGUUGUGUAACGAUUAUAUACGAUACAUAUGCGACGAGUACUAAAUACGCGCGCGCAACAGACAUCAGUCCCCUUAGCGCUCGUUAAUAACGACGUCUUCAACUCGUGGUACGCGUUUAUCGUGCAGUAGCUCUAUCCAUGAUACACGAUCUAAGGGGAUAACAAAUUAAAAAAAGGAAGCGCUAGUAGCAACUGCGGG